UCUAAAGGAUUGUGCACGCUCCCCCGGGCAUCAUUAUGCCCACUGGCAUCCUUUAAGCAGCCGGAAGCGAGGAUCCGAGGGAGGGUGAUUCGCACCCUGGACCCCUCGGAAUACCCCGUGGCACAGAUAUGCUCCCUGUCGAGGCAUUUCCCAGGGAGCAAUAUCAUGAUAAAGCUCCGACAGCUCGCCAGGGAGCGAGAGGAGGAAGAGCGCAGGGAGCGAGAGGAAGAGGAACGUGCACAGGAAGCAGAGACCUGCGUGCCACCUCUGGUGCAGGACACCAGAGAGGUGGAAAUGGUCGCGCAGGAGGAAGGUGCACAGGGGGAAGACGCACAGGAGGAAGGUGCGCAAG